rnacentral:lncRNA from 1 species
AUUGAUCUCCGCCGUUGACUCAACCUCGCUAGUUGUCUCACCACCAUCAUUGAACGCUUGAUCUACCCUUGCUCCCCUCAUCAAUAGCUCAAGAGAGGAUCGUCGUCCUCCCAUAGCCCUAACAACCUCUGCGGGACAUAGUAUCAUAUAUUCAUAUUUAACAUGCAAAAUAAAAGGCUAGAUAGACAUACAUCUAGAAUAUGCAAAAUAACAUUUUCUUAAUCUAGCCAAGAAAUUUGAUAGCCCUGAUAGAUCGUGUAAAUACCUCCGUUCUUAUGCUAAAAUAUACACCAAUAU